UAUUUAAGACGCAGGGUGAAGAAUAAAUUAUUCCUCACCCUGGUCGACCGACCGAGUGACAGACAAACGGCUCAACCAGGUAAAAUUAUACCCCGCCGCCCGCCGUCGUAAUUUUAAUUUGACGCAGGAAUUGGUCAGCUGGUCGUGGGAAUUGGGAGGUGCGAGCGGUUUCCACUUUCGACGUCGGAUAGUGUGCGGUCAGCGGCCGGUGGGCUCGUUGUGCUCGGCGGAGGAUUCGCUCGCUUCCCGAUCCUCCUCUCCUCCGAUCUCUCGUGUUAUCCGGAGGCGACAACGGCGGUCGGCGGCAAGGGUUACGGAGCGGUCGGCGAUUCGGCUGCGGCUGCUACGGCGGCGGCCACUCCCAAAUCACCCGGCUGCUCCGUCGGAGAAGGCGCCGGCGACUGCAAACCGUCGAAGGAGAAUACGCUGGUGUCAGCCAUCUUCCGUAAGCGGAGGUGCUGCAAAGGAGCUGCUGAAUAGGGGGAUCAAGAAGAGGCAGGACCAAUAGGAUGGCAGUAUGACAGUAUGCCAUUAUGUCAAUGGAGGAGAAGGAGGCCGUGUCAAUGGCAAAGAACAAGAGGAGCACAACAAGGCCCGUGAGGAGGAAGAACAUCACAAGAUUAUCUUCUUUGAUACAGCCAAAGGUAAUAGCUCUAACUCUUCUCAGUUUAGAUGAAUUGUUCCUUCUUACCAGCUCCAGUGUUUCAGAUGAACUGGACUGGCUCUUGGUUAAUCAAUUAAUUGUCAUGAAAAAGAAGAUAAUAGUGAAAUUUAAAUAAAGAUUGGCUUCCCUAUUGUACCCUUUCCUGAUGGAGGCUGCAGUAUUUCUCUAGGAGAAAUCUCCUAUUCCAUUGUAGGCUCUCUGUUUGCUACAUGAGAGAAAGAAAUUAUGUGUGUUCUGAAAAAGGGUGAUUAGUCAAACAUGAUGAGUCACUUACUAGUAAUUAGUAGCUUCUACAAUGAAGGAUGAUUUACUCAUAUAAUUUGUUGCUGUAGUUUGUUAGUUUUUCACUACCCAUUUGAUAACAGAAGAAAAUUAAACCCCAUGUCUCUGUAUCAAAAGAUGCAGGAACUUAAGGCUCCACAAUUUACAGAGAAAUACGCAAUAUAAGUGUGAUUGCCUCAUGGUUCAUUUUUUACACCGGCCAAAUCUAAGGUAGGUAUGAUGCUUAGCGCCUAUCCUUUGCAAGAUGCUAGUUAAUUCAAACUUUAAGUAUAUACUGUCCUUUGCUAUAAAGCUGCAGAGGUGUCAAUCUUUUGUUCAGAAUAUGAUAUCCAAGCUGUAGAGGUGGCACAUAACAUAGGGCUGGAGACAGAAACUUUUGUGAAACCUAGCUUGUGUGAGACUCGUAGCAAAGCUGCAAAAAAAUUAUUGAACUUAACAAGGAUAAAAGGUAGGUUACCCUUGUAAAUCUGUCAAGUAAUUUUAUAAAACAAAAUUUACUAAAGGAUUAAUUUAACUGAUGAGAGGUCCUAAUCCUGUUUGUACUUUGGUUCGUCUUGUUUUAGUUCCUACUGACCUUGUUCAUGGAUCCAGGAACAGAGAAACGCAAGAUGAUUUUGCAAGUUAGCAAUAAUUACCGUAAUAAAGCUGCCACACUUGCCUUCUUGGAAGAUCCAUUGAAGAAACAUGGCAAAUCUAACCAAUUGAUGUUUGUUUUAAAGAAGCAUAGCUUGAUACUGUUGCUAGUAGCUUACAGUAACUGAGAACAGGUGACACCAUCACAUUGGAAUGGGCAUGUCUAGGUUUUGCCUCUCAAGGAACACGCGUUCAUUCUCUUCCGAGUUUGAGCUUAACCUGUACUAUACUAUUUCCAUUAGCACUAUGCAUUCCAGUUUUGGACACUCCAAGGUAUGCUUCGCAAAACUAAUCAUUCUCGGAUAAGCACAUCAUAUGACCGAAAAUACAUGGCCUUUAGUUAGCUCAUAGUAACUGUCUACAUGUUUAUUGACCAAAGAAGAUGUCUUGUAAAACCGAAUUACAUAAGCAUUUUAGUGUAAAACAUGAUCUGGAUGAUGGCAUUACCCUUUAAUCUGCCCUGGCAUGAUAUGUCCAUGUAUAUUCAGUGUGCUCUUUCACUAGAGAACAAUAGUAGUAGUUGUAAGUUUCUCCAAAAGUUUCUGCCGAAAAUCACCAUGUUACAACCAUUAGUUCGUGGAAAUUGCAGUGGGGAAGAACCCAUUUAUUAAUUUCAGAACCAGCAUUUUUGGGUUGCAUAUUUUGUAAUGUGUUCGACUGUUUUGAACUAGUGGAAUAAAAUUGCAGACACCAUUAUUAAAUUUCACAUGUCCUGUGCUGCCUCGUUGACCUCUAAUUAGGUAGCAGUUCUAUGUUGGUAUCGUGGUUGUCAACAGAAAUUGCAUUGGUGUCUGCGGCAACUACCACAAAUUUUCGUUCCAUGGUAUCUAGCCUCUUGCAAAUUUUCUUUAGCUUGUAGUUUGCUGCUAAUUUCGUUGGCAUGUUCUUCUACUGUUUCCUGAUUCUCAUGGACGUACAAAUAUCCAAUUUUAAAAGAAAGGUAUUUCCCCUAAAAAAAGGUAUUUGUCUCCAACUGGCAUUAUGUCUUGCUAUGGUUUGUAUAAAUUGAAGCGCGGUUCAUUCUUUAGUUCAGUUUUGUUGUUGGAUUGAUCCAGGUGAGGCCGCACCAUAUAACUAAGCUCUAGUUAUUGUCAUCAAUCAUGAUGAACUGCAUGAAACAUACUGCUUUCUCUUUGCAGAAUUCCCCUAGUCACCGCUUGAGGAGAAAGUUCUUUUUUGUAGAAUGUACCUUUGUACCAUAAUAUGUCAUGGGCAAAUCUCGUUUAUGAAUUGGUUGCAAUUCUGGUUCAUCGGCUGCACCAUAUGCAAAUAUGCAUGUAUUUUUAGAAGUCGAUAAUUUUUUAAUUGCAAGUGUAGGUGAUCUAUAUAUCUCACUGAUCCAGAUUUUGUUAUUUUGUCAGGAAAAUGGCAAAUGGGGAUUCCGAUGUAAUCGAGGAAGGAAGAUGCUGUUUGUGAGUGACUUGGAGACGAAGUAUCUAGAGGCAGUCAUGUGCAGAUUACAAGAUGUGCCACUCAUUUAGUUGUAUAGUAUCAAUGCACGGGAGAUAUAGCUCAUAGUCCUUGUUGCACGAAUGUACAGAAAAUGGUUUUACGUUGCAAAAUCUUAUGGGCACAUGAGGCCAUGUCAAAAGUUUUGAUGUCUGUGUGAUUUUAAGAGUACUCAAGGUUUUGCUGAUUAUUCUUGUUUCGUGUGUUUUUAUGCUGACAAGUACAAUUAAGCAAUAAGCUAUAGCGAUAUAUCUUUCAUUGUGUUUUUUUA